rnacentral:rRNA from 1 species
AACGAAUGCUGGCGGCAGGCCUAACACAUGCAAGUCGAGCGCCCCGCAAGGGGAGCGGCGCACGGGUGAGUAACGCGUGGGAAUAUGCCCUUAGGUACGGAAUAGCCUCGGGAAACUGGGAGUAAUACCGUAUAUGACGAGAGUUGAAAGAUUUAUCGCCUAAGGAUUAGCCCGCGUUAGAUUAGAUAGUUGGUGGGGUAAUGGCCUACCAAGUCUACGAUCUAUAGCUGGUUUGAGAGGAUGAUCAGCCACACUGGGACUGAGACACGGCCCAGACUCCUACGGGAGGCAGCAGUGGGGAAUAUUGCACAAUGGACGCAAGUCUGAUGCAGCCAUGCCACGUGAGUGAUGAAGGCCUUCGGGUUGUAAAGCUCUUUUGGCGGGGACGAUAAUGACGGUACCCGCAGAAUAAGCCCCGGCUAACUUCGUGCCAGCCGCCGCCGUAA